rnacentral:tmRNA from 1 species
GGGGACGACCGGUUUUGACAGCAAGGUCAGACGGACGGUAAGCAUGCCGAGUAAUGAAAAAGCACUCGUAAAUCCCAUUUUCAACAAUUAAACGGCGAAAAUAACUACGCUUUAGCUGCUUAAUCUGAAUUAUAGUAGGAUUCUCAAGCCAACGCUCCUGCAAGGCAGGAGGGCUAAAUGUCUCUCGAAAGCCUUGAUUUACGGCGUUCCCUAUAGAGGCAUCGUAAAAGUAAAUCUAGGAAGCAGAAGCUUCGGCUGACUUCCGAAAUUUUUGAAGCUAAGCCAUAAGUGGGCGGUUUUUGGCCGGCUUGUGGUCUAAAAAUAACCAAAGACUAAGCAUGUAGAAAGCUCUUCGGUUGCUUGUUUGGACGCGGGUUCGAUUCCCGCCGUCUCCACAA